UACGUGCGAGGCAAGCGUUACUCGUCAUUAAUGGGUCUAGAGGGUACGUAGGCGGUAUAGUUUAAUCUAGAAUAAACACAGUUUAAAUAUGUGAUAGAUAUUACUAUUCUAGAGUCAAAAGGAGUAACAAAUAGAACGAGUGGAGUGUAAAAAUACCUAGAUACUCGAGGAGUUGCGAAGUGGCGAAAGCAUGUUACUAUUGAAGACUGACGCUGAGGUACGAAGGCAUGGGUAUCGAUCGGG
rnacentral:rRNA from 1 species